AGAGAAUUCUAAAUAAGCUUUCUUUUUUUAUAACAGAUCCUAAAGGUGAUGAAGAUGCCUUACUAUUUUAAAGCCGUGGCAUCAUGUCUCAAGGAAGAAAAUGUAUAUGUAAUUGCUGCUUCAGAAAUCUUCUAGUUAACCACUAGUUCUGACAGGCGUAUGUGCAGAUUCCUGGAAGGAGUGACAGAGAACAUGGGCCACCUCUGGUGUUGAAGUUUACAACUUGUGAAUCUCUGUCUUCUUUCCUCUCAUGGAGGAAUCAGGUGAUAGAAUGAUUUUAUUUUUAAGACAUGUUAUUUUUAACACACUUUAUAUCUCUGAAACUAAUAUAUCUGAGGAAUUGUGAAAAUAAAUGCUGAAGUACUUGAAGCAAAUCAGUUUUCUUGUGUAAGUUAAUUUUUAAGUUCCUUUGAAGCAUGUGCAAUUGGUGUAAAUGAGUAUUCCUAUAUAAUGAAGUAAUAAACACAGCUAGUAGAAAA